AGCGUAGACGGCGAAGCAAGUCUGAAGUGAAAUGCAUGGGCUCAACCCAUGAAUUGCUUUGGAAACUGUUUGGCUUGAGUGUCGGAGGGGUAAGCGGAAUUCCUAGUGUAGCGGUGAAAUGCGUAGAUAUUAGGAGGAACACCGGAGGCGAAGGCGGCUUACUGGACGACAACUGACGUUGAGGCUCGAAGGCGUGGGGAGCAAACA
rnacentral:rRNA from 1 species